rnacentral:rRNA from 1 species
CAAUAGCGUAUAUUAAAGUUGUUGCAGUUAAAAAGCUCGUAGUUGGAUUUCUGAUCGAGACAUCAGGUCGGGUCCGAGAGGAUCAUGUACUUUGAUUUGUUUUGAUCAUCCUUGGGGAGAGCAUUUCUGGCAUUCAGUUGUCGGGAUUGGGAUCCUCAUCGUUUACUGUGAAAAAAUUAGAGUGUUCAAAGCAGGCCUCGGCCUCUGAAUACAUCAGCAUGGAAUAAUAAGAUAGGACUUUGGUGGUCUAUUUUGUUGGUUUGCACGCCAAAGUAAUGAUUAAUAGGGAUAGUUGGGGGUAUUCGUAUUCAAUUGUCAGAGGUGAAAUUCUUGGAUUUAUGGAAGACGAACUACUGCGAAAGCAUUUACCAAGGAUGUUUUCAUUAA